AUUAGCGCAAAAAGCAAACGGUUGAAAGUAACGUUUGGAUUGUCUCAUUGUGAUUUUUAUGUAUACGCCUGAAAGAGGUGAGAUUCUGCAAUUCAUGCGAACUAGGUGUCUGUUAUAUUUUUCCCCUGCGUUAUUUAUUAUUUUUUAACCAGGGCACAUAGUUUGGAGUUUAUCGACAUAUUCGUAAACUAUCUUCUCCGCUUGUGUAAAAAAUUUGCGCCUUGAGUUCGUGUCUUGACCGAUAACACAAAAAAUCAACCAACACGACAAAAUCUGAUUACAUUUUUCGGUAUGCAGCUUUUCGGAUUGCCUCAUGAUGCUUUUCGUGUAGACUUGUUCCAGAGGUGGAAGCUUGGCAAUUUCUCUGGUGUAGUCUGCCCCUUCAUUUUUAUCAAACGUUUAUCGUCUCUAUCUCUCCUACUCCUCUUUGUGCUCGUCACUCUCUUUUAACACCUCUAAUCUUCAGCUCUUAUGUAACCUUAUUGUGUUGCAAGUGCCGUUAAACCCUUACUAAUACUAGAAAUCUUCCAGGGGCCAAAGUCUGGAGCUAACCAACAAGACGGUGAAGUGGCCUGGGGGAGUGAUCAGAAUCCCGUUUGGAAGGCCCGAGUGUGGUUGGGAUGGAACCCUCUGCGAAAACAAGACAAACAUUAUCGUAAGUGCAGUGUCCUGUGUCAUCGCCCUUCUCGUCAUCGCUCUCGUCAUCAGCCUACUGUACUGGAGGGCCGCUAAGAAAAGGCGAGAGUCAAGUAAAGCCUGGAUUGUCCACUACGACGACCUGGUACACAAGGACCACCGAAUUGGAAGGUCAAGGAUAAACAUGGGCUCCGUCAGGAACAUGAGCCCGACCCUGUCUCGAAGUGAGUCCCAUUUCUCCAUGGAUUCCUCGCAUGGUCAAGUGUUUGCUGACCACUGCUUCUAUCACAACGAAGAGGUGGCGGGGAAGCCUGUCACCCGCAGAGAGAAACUGGCCUAUAUAACUAAUCAGAUGACCAGAGAAGU